AGAAAUGAAUUUACUGUGGGUGCAAGAAGAAGGUCCUCAAAUUCUUAUUGACUGUCAGCUGACAGACAUUCCCAGCUUCUUAGAGCCUGUCACACUGCUUGGCUCAUGGUCCCCACUUGCAUCUUCAAAGCUAGAAAUGAAGGAUGAAGUACUUCUCAUAGUGAGUCUUUUUAACCCACCCUUCUGCCUUUCCCUUCCUCUCUUGAGGACUCAAGUCACUAGACUGGCCCCUCUGCCCCCAGAUAAUCCAGGAUGAUCCCCCCCAUCUCUAGAUCUAUACCGUUAAUCACACUGCAAACUCUCCUUUGCCAUGUUUAAGGUAACAUAGUCACAGGUUUGGUGGGUUAGGGGUAGACGUUGUUGUGUGUGUGUGUGUGUGGGCAGGCUUUUAUUGAAAGCCCUAUAGUUUCCCCAUUGAGUUGUUUUAGAACAUUUGUGAAAAGUAAAUUUUCCAUAAAGGCAGGAAUUUGUUUCUGGACUCAAUUAUUUUCCAUUGAUGUGCAUGCGUCUAAGCUUGUGCCAGCACCACGUUGUCUUGAUUACUGUGGCUUUAACAAAAUUUUUGAAAUCAAGUAGUUCUUUGUUUUUAACAGUAUUUUGUUUUUAACAGGUUGUCGGAAUAUGCAGAUAAGUUUUAGCAUCAGCUUAUGAAUUUUUGCAAAAAAAAGCCUGCUGGGCUUUUGAAUUGUGUUGAAUUUCUAAACUAAUUUGGAGAGAAUUUCCAUCUUGAGUCUUCUAAUCCAUCAAUAUGAAAUGUCUAUUUAUGUACAUAUUUAAUUUCUCUCAGCAACAUUUUGUAGUUUUCAAUAGAUGUCAUCUUCUUUUGUUAAUUUCCAAAAAGUUUACAUUUUCAUAUGUGUGAAUGAAAUUUUCUUCAUUUAAUUUUUGUGUUUUUGUAUUUCUAGUAUAUAAAAAUGCAAUUGAUUUUUAUAUAUUGAUCUUGUAUCCCAAGGCCUUCCUAAACUCAUUGAUGAGUUCUAGAUUUUUUUAAUGGAUUUUUUGGGAUUCUCUCCAUAUAGAAUCAUUUUCUUUUUAAAUAAAGACAGUUUUACUCCUUUAUUUCCACUUUGGAUACAUUUAAUUAGUUGAUUGAUUGAUUGGUUGGUUGUUUUCUUGGAAUGGCUAGAAAAUCCAGUAUAAUUGUGAAUACAAAUAAUAAAAGUAGACAUCUUUCUACUGUUCUUAAGGGGGGAUUUUCAGUCUUUUGCCAUUAGAUAUGAUGUUACCUGUAGUGUUUUCCUAAAUUCUUUUUGUCAGUUUAAAAAGCGUUUGUUCUAUUUCCAGUUUUUUAAGAUUUUUUUUUUAAAUCAUAAAUAGGUCUUACAUGCCGUCCAAUUAUUUUCCUACAUCUGUUGAGAUAAUCACGGAGUAUUUUAGUCCUUUAUAAAUUGAAUGUGAUUGGUAUAUUACAUUAAAUUGGUUUUUGGAUGUCAAAUGAACCCAGCAUUCUUGGAUAAACCCCAUCGGGUCAUAGUAUAUAAUCAUUUUUAUAUUUUGCUGGAUUCACUUUUUUAAUACUUUGUUAAGGAAUUUUGCAACCAUGUUAAUGAGAGAUACUGGUCUGUGAUGUUUUUCCUCUUGUGAUAUCUUUGGCUUUGCUAUCAGGGUACUACUAGCCUUGUAAAAUGAUUUGGGAUUGUUCCUUAGUCCACUAUCUUCUGAAACAUCAACAGUAAGUGAUGAACUGCCAUGAUUUCUUCUGUGACUAUUUGAUAGAACUUACCAUAGAGGCCAGUUGGGCCUAGGCUUUUCUUUGUGGGAAGAUUUCGAAUCCCCUAGUUCAGUUUCUGUGCUUGCCAUGGAUGUAUUCAGAUUUUCUAUUUCUUCUUGACUGAGUUUCAGUAAUGUGUGAUGCUUAGGAAUGUGCCUGUUUCGUCCACGUUGUCUAACGUUUCACGACAGGACUGUUCAGAACAUCCGCUGUCUCUCCUUUAGUGUGACAAGGCUUUCUUCCUCUGCCAACCGUCUGUGUGCGGGUAAGCGGCGCAGCCGCAGUCCGGGGCGUUUUCACGUGUGCGCUGGAUUUCCGUUUCCUCAACGCUCGCAUCUCUCGGGCACGCCGCGCCCUUCGGGGCGGAGUCUCGGCCUGCACCCUCCCUCGCAUGCGCCGUGUCUGCAGGCGGCAACCGCUUACCAGGGUCAACCUCAGGCGAGUAGAGCAGCGGGAGGCACAUGGCAGCCACGGUUCGAAGCCAGGACGGUUCGAAGCCAGCCGUUUGCCAGCUUUUGUAUGACCUAGCUUUCCCACGGGACCGCUGUGGGCCUCCCAGUCCCUCCUGCCGCCCCGCGGGCCCUGGCGCUGCCGUCUCCCCAAAGCCACAGAGGCCCUUCCAGCAGCAGAAAACCCUCUACAGUUCGUCCCACCCUGGACAAGGUGGGCAGCCCAGGCCAGAGUGACAUAGUUCCCACGUUUUUCCCAGAAGUUCGACAGUUUUUAAGCAUCCGUGCCUCUCAAAUUUGUGUUAAGCCUUUGCUCAAUUUCUACAGUAUGGAAAUGGAUGAUUUUGUUCAUUUUUUUUCAGCUUUGUGCUUGCCUAUUUGGAAGACAAUUUCCUGAUCUCAUUUAGCAAUAGCUAAAAGUGCUAUCUCUUUUUUUCACAAAUCUUUUUUAAGUAAACUGCAUACAAUACUGAAAAUAAAAAUAAAAUACGAAUCCAUCAUGA